GCUGUAGCUCAGUGGUAUAGAGUCUGCUUUGCAUGCAGAAGGUCCCAGAUUCAGUCCCUGGUAUCUCCA